GAGUGUGAGCACACCUGUUGGGACCCAAAAUAUGGUGAACUAUUCCUGAGCAGGGCGAAGCCAGAGGAAACUCUGGUGGAGGCCCGUAGCGAUACUAACGUGCAAAUCAUUCAUCUGACUUGGGUAUAGGGGCGAAAGACUAAUCGAACCAUCUAGUAGCUGGUUUCCUUUGAAGUUUCCCUUAGGAUAGCUGGAGCUCACGUGCGAGUUUUAUCGGGUAAAGAAAAUGAUUAGAGGCAUCGGGGGCAUAACACCCUCGACCUAUUCUCAAAAUUUAAAUAGGUAAGACGGUGCGACUGCUCCAUUGAGCCUUGCCACGGAAUCGAGAGCUCCAAGUGGGCCAUUUUUGGUAAGCAUAACUGGCGAUGCAGGAUGAAUCGAAAGUCGAGUUAUGGUGCCAAACUGAGCGCUAACCCAGAUCCCACAAAGGGUGUUGGUUGAUUAAGACAGCAGGACGGUGGUCAUGGAAGUCGAAAUUCGCUAAGGAGUGUGUAACAACUCACCUGUCGAAUCAACUAGCCUCGAAAAUGGAUGGCGCUGAAGCAUGCGACCUAUACUUGACCUUCAGAGAAAUUUCCAGUCUUCGAUGAGUAGGAGGAUGGAGGGGUCGUUGAGAAACCUUGGGCGUGAGCCUGGGUGGACCGGUACCUGGUGCAGAUCUUGGUGGUAGUAGAAAAUAUUCAAAUGAGAACUUUGAAGACUGAAGUGGGGAAAGGUUCAAUGUGAACAACACUUGGACAUGGGUUAGUCGAUCCUAAGAGAUGGGGAAGCCCUGUAUCAAGGGUGCACUAUGCAC
rnacentral:ncRNA from 1 species